rnacentral:rRNA from 1 species
AUUGAACGCUGGCGGCAGGCCUAACACAUGCAAGUCGAACGAGUGGCGGACGGGUGAGUAAUGUCUGGGAAACUGCCCGAUGGAGGGGGAUAACUACUGGAAACGGUAGCUAAUACCGCAUACCAUCGGAUGUGCCCAGAUGGGAUUAGCUAGGAGGUGGGGUAACGGCUCACCUAGGCGACGAUCCCUAGCUGGUCUGAGAGGAUGACAAGACACAAGGGAACUGAGAAACGGGCCAGACGCCGACGGGAGGCAGCAGUGGGGAAUAGUGCACAAUGGGCGAAAGCCUGAUGCAGCCAUGCCGCGGGUAUGAAGAAGGCCUUCGGGGGGGAAAGUACUUUCAGCGAGGAGGCGUUACUCGCAGAAGAAGCACCGGCUAACUCCGUGCCAGCAGCCGCGGUAAUUC